AACGAACGCUGGCGGCAUGCCUAACACAUGCAAGUCGAACGAAACCAAGGCUUCGGCCUGAAGUUUAGUGGCGCACGGGUGCGUAACGCGUGGGAAUCUGCCCUUGGGUUCGGAAUAACUCAGAGAAAUUUGAGCUAAUACCGGAUGAUGACGUAAGUCCAAAGAUUUAUCGCCCAAGGAUGAGCCCGCGUAAGAUUAGCUUGUUGGUGAGGUAAAGGCUCACCAAGGCGACGAUCUUUAGCUGGUCUGAGAGGAUGAUCAGCCACACUGGGACUGAGACACGGCCCAGACUCCUACGGGAGGCAGCAGUGGGGAAUAUUGGACAAUGGGCGAAAGCCUGAUCCAGCAAUGCCGCGUGAGUGAUGAAGGCCUUAGGGUUGUAAAAGCUCUUUUACCAGGGAUGAUAAUGACAGUACCUGGAAGAAUAAGCUCCGGCUAACUCCGUG
rnacentral:rRNA from 1 species